UGUCAGAGGUGGGUUUUAGAGACCAGCUUGAAUCUUUUUCAGCUAAGCUACCUCUCGUUGCUCACGCCUGACUUCCUAACACAGGGUAAGGAUAAAGGCUUUGUCAGAUGCCACAUAGAAGUCCAUUUGCGAGCGACAGCGACGCAAGAUGGCAGCCACCACGGGCUCGGGAGUAAAAGUCCCUCGCAAUUUCCGACUGUUGGAAGAACUCGAAGAAGGCCAGAAAGGAGUAGGAGAUGGCACAGUUAGCUGGGGUCUAGAAGAUGACGAAGACAUGACACUUACCAGAUGGACAGGGAUGGUAAUUGGGCCUCCAAGAACAAUUUAUGAAAACCGAAUAUACAGCCUUAAAAUAGAGUGUGGACCUAAAUACCCAGAAGCACCCCCCUUUGUAAGAUUUGUAACAAAAAUUAAUAUGAAUGGAGUUAAUAGUUCUAAUGGAGUGGUGGACCCAAGAGCCAUAUCAGUGCUAGCAAAAUGGCAGAAUUCGUAUAGCAUCAAAGUUGUCCUGCAAGAGCUUCAGCGCCUAAUGAUGUCUAAAGAAAAUAUGAAACUCCCUCAGCCACCUGAAGGACAGUGUUACAGCAAUUAAUCAAAAAGAAAAACCACAGGCCCUCCCCUGCCCCCCAUUCGAUUUAAGCAGUCUUCAUUUUCCACAGUAGUAAAUUUUCUAGAUUCGUCUUGUAGACCUCAAAGUACUGGAAAGAAAGCUCCCAUUCAAAGGCAGUUUAUCUUAAGAUACUGUAAAUGAUACUAAUUUUUUUGUCCAUUUGUAAUAUAUAAGUUGUGCUAUAACAAAUCAUCCUGUCAAGUGUAACCACUGUCCACAUAGUUGAACUUCUGGGAUCAAGAAAGUUAUAUUUAAAUUGAUUCCCAUCCUAACCGGUGGGGCACAUGUAACUCAACUGUGAAAAGACACAUCACACAAUCACCGUGCUGCUGAUUCCAUGGCCUGGGGUCUCUGCCUUCUCCCCCUCCCCUCCCCCUCCCUGCAACAGCCCUCCAGCUAGGGGUGGCUUCUUGGAGUAGACGUGAAGGUUUCAGGUCACAGCCUGGGGGGCCCUGCUGAGGUGCGGGGUGCUCUGUCCGCACCCCUGGUCUCUCUGAGUCUUAAGUGACGCCCCCCUUCCAAGCCAUCAAUCCUCCUCCCCCCACCCUCCACUGCCGCCCGUGGCCGAGGCAUAGAUUGUAGCCCUCUGCUCCCCUCUGAGAUCGGCCUUUGGUGAGGACUUCAGGGCUUCCCCGUAUCUUCUCCCCCCACCGUAAUCGAGGGGUGCUGCCUUCUCCUUCCUCCUCCUCAAUCCCUUUCUGCACCGCCACCCAGCACUUCCAUGACGCUUCCUUGCUUUGGCCAGAAGCCAUCAGGUAAGGUUGGAAAGUCUCUGACCUCCCAUCAUUUAGUCUUGGAACCACAGUUUAUUUACUCUCACCAGCCUGGGAAAUGAAUAUUGGGUUCUCAGCCUUGCCACCCUCUGCUGUCCCCAUCAGCUGAUGCGUUUCUUUAGCUCAGGUUUCGAUAAGGUGAAAAGAACAGUCACCGGGCUUACUCAGACCUGCAGCUCGCGACCUCCUUGGUGGUUAAACUUGGAGAAAGGCCGCAGAAGACACUUGUAAGCACACACAAUCCCUCUGAAUGAAUUGUUUUCUUUUCCUGUAAAGGCUUUGGCUUUUUAAAAUCGAAGAAGUUUUAAACAGGGCUCUCAUUGGGUCAUCCUUUCAGUCCAUUCGGGUCUAGUUUGGAAGCUGACAACUGGAACAAAAAGAACCUUGAAUUUGGUGCAUACUUUGGUUUUGGUGCUGCUGCUUCUCCCCGUCCUCAGCAGGGAUUACGAAAGAACUUGGUGUGCACGGCAGAUCCCCGAAAUUCCUGGCGAAUCGCUACGUUUUUCCACUUUUCUGUUCAGGACCACUAAAUGCUGAGAUGUGGAUGCAUACCGAAAUAAAAUCAAUUCAUUGUGAAAAAAAAAAAA